AUUGAACGCUGUCGGCAGGCCUAACACAUGCAAGUAGAACGAGUGGCGUACGGGUGAGUAAUGUCUGGGAAACUGCCUGCUGGAGGGGGAUAACUACUGGAAACGGUAGCUAAUACCGCAUACCAUCGGAUGAGCCCAGAUGGGAUUAGCUAGUAGGGGGGGUAACGGCUCACCUAGGCGACGAUCCCUAGCUGGUCUGAGAGGAUGACCAGCAACACUGGAACUCAGACACGGUCCAGACUCCUACGGGAGGCAGCAGUGGGGAAUAUUGCACAAUGGGCGCAAGCCUGAUGCAGCCAUGCCGCGUGUAUGAAGAAGGCCUUCGGGUUGUAAAGUACUUUCAGCGGGGAGGCGUUACCCGCAGAAGAAGCACCGGCUAACUCCGUGCCAGCCGCCGCGGUAAUUC
rnacentral:rRNA from 1 species